AACAGAAUGAGGCUCUGGGGUCCAGAAGGGAGGCUGAAGAAUAGUGUCAAAGCAAGCAGCAGAUGUUAGCCAAUGAAGAAGGAGAAGCAGCAGCAAUUAUAUCUCAAGUCUCCUGUGUGAGACCAGGACCUCUUCCCAGCAUUCUAAAUGCAAGACAUCUCAACAGCCCAGCAUGUCAGAGUGGCAUCCCGUAGGAUGUCUGCUUUCUCUCAUCAGUCCUGGAGUCGCACCUCAGAGAAUGCCUGUGAGCAGCAUCCGACAGAGACUACCAACAAACUGGCCCAGGCAUCUGGCACCAGAGAAAAAUGAACUCCCAGUAGACAGUUCCACCACGUGACAUUUUCAUGAUUGACAGCCCUCUCCCACUUUCCCUAGCCUGGCUUACAUGUUGAGAAGGUGAUCACAGAAGCCAGCACCGGCCAGAGCCAGCACCUCAUCCGCACACCCUUUGCAGGAGUGGAUGAUUUCUUCAUUCCCCCAACAAACCUCAUCAUCAACCACAUCAGGUUUGGCUUCAUCUUCAACAAGUCUGAUCCUGCAGUCCACAAGGUGGACCUGGAAACAAUGAUGC
rnacentral:lncRNA from 1 species